rfam:Mycobacterium heraklionense strain Davo contig_34, whole genome shotgun sequence.
CGAAAGUGCCUUUCCGAUCUGCGGCGAUUGUUUGUGUGAGAACUUCAAUCAUCCCAGCUCAGAAGGCACUUUUCUUAUACCGACACCCGCGCCACCAUCAGUUCAGUCGGUGGAUCGAG